GCGAGGGUCCCCGGGAUCGUCGGGUCAGGCCUUGGGCCAAGGUAGGCACUCUCGCAGUUCCUCCGCCUUCAGGAAGGUCUUUUUGGCAGGGCCCUUACGGGUGCGCGCUUCGGUCCUGGAGGCGUUAUCCUAGCCUCCUCUCCAUCAGCGCCACCUGUCUGGGGCCCGAUAGGAGGGAGCUUUCCCUCUGUCCCCCAGCCUUUGGACUGUCACCAAACAAGCCAUCCGUUCACCAAAUACUUAUUAAGCGCCUACCAUGUGUCUGGCAAGGGAGGUGUAACAGAAAAACUAGGUGUGGUCCAGGCCCUCCAGGGGCUCAGGGGCUUGUGGAAGAAGUGGACAUUGAAGUACUUACCACACAAAUGAGCAUGAAAGUACAAUAGCGAUAUCUGCCACGAAGGCGAGCAGACAGAGCUAGCUGGGCUUCCAGGAGGAGUUUUGAUCUUGCAGGGACAGGAAGGAGGAGUUAGCUCCUGGGAGGCGGGAUUGGGGGGGGUGGUGAUAUAGACGUGGGGACAGAGUGGAAAACAACAAAAAUAUAAUUAUUUUAGUUCAAAGUUAUUGUGUCUUGAGUUGAAAGGCAGGGCAGUUAGCAACACAGUUCAGAUUUCAGUACUGCCCCUGAAAUCUGAAUCGUGUUCAAAGUCUAAAACGUUUACCUUAGCAAAUCCCUCAUAAAACUCCAUUUGGAAGAGUCCCGAGAGCUAAUUUGUUAAGUAUACUUGCAGAAGGUAGAUGAGGAGACAGAUUAAAUCUUAUUACCUCUUUCAGAUGACAGGCACUUGAGCCCUGCUCAGCCGUGAGAAUAAGAGGGGGAAUUAAUUCUAAUUGAAUACACUUGUUCUCUCACAGCUGUUGUUCCCCACCAGAACCAAAUGAGCGCAAAAUCUGACAAAGAAAAAAAAAGGUUCAUCUUUUAUUCCGCCAAACACUUUCAUUUAAAUCAAGAGGGUGGGAUGUGGUUAUUGCUGUGUUUUUAGACAGAAUCAACAGUUUCUGGGUCUGAGAUAUUGCAUACACCCUCUCAGUCCCUGUAUCCUGAGAUGGAGUCACCUGAGAAUCCACAGCAAGUCCUAACCAGGGAUGGGUCUGGGUGGUUAAGGAAGGUUGGCUUCAGAACUGGGCCAGGGGCACUGCUUUGCUUUUGCUGUUUUGAUCAGCUCUCUGCCCGCAGGAGACAAGGAAAACCAACGGGAACAGCCCAGUAAAGGCACCAUUCCCCAUUUUACAGCUUGGGAAUCUGAGUUACAGAGCUUGUCUGCACUGAGUCAACAGGAGCAAAUGCUAGAUCAGAUAGGAUCUCUCUCUCUCUGCCACCCAGGCCAGAGCGCAGUUGAUGCAGGGCAGGGGAGCCCCGCAGUGGAGCAUAGUGUGUCCAGAACUGGUGGGUUCUUGGUCUCACUGACUUCAAGAAUGAAGCCACGGACCCUCGCGGUGAGCGUCACAGUUCUUAAAGGCGGUGCGUCCGGAGUUUUUUCCUUCUGAUGCUCGGAUGUGUUCAGAGUUUCUUCCUUCUGGUGGGUUCCUGGUCUCGCUGGCUUCAGGAGUGAAGC
rnacentral:lncRNA from 1 species